AAUAGAAUCUCAUUUGAAUAUGGGAUAACAACACUUCUCCCAUCGUUCAUGAAGGCUGAGGAGACAAAGACUUGGGAAGAGGAAGGAAAAUAAUAUGGUGGAUACAAGGGAGAAGAAGCCCAAGCCUUGCAUCUGGAUUGGAAUCGUGACAUAUUUUCAUAUCUAUCUGGAGUACAUUCAACUUUACAGAUGAACUUUGGAUUUUUAGUUGCUAAAUGUUUUCCUAAAUACUAAUACAUUUCUUAACUCAUGAAACCAAACAAUCUUUAGUUUUAGCCUAACAAUAUAUGAUUUUACUCAUGGGUGUGGGGAGGUGGGCCUCUUCCUGUCCAGUAAGGUAAUUUCUGGACAAUAUUUCUGCCCAUUUAGGGGACCCCUUUAAGCUCAAGAGCACCCCCAGUGGCAAGAUAUGUGUAGCCUCUUUAGAACCUAUUUAUAACUAUACAGUACAUGGCAGGUGUUGGUGGAGGUUACUUCUGUGAUAUAAUUUGACACUUUCUCAAUCAAUUGCUCUAUAACAUUCAUUAAA